rnacentral:rRNA from 1 species
CCUUUCACACUGUCGAGAAAAGUCUCUAUCGAGGUUAAAGGUGCCUGUACCGCAAACCGACACAGGUGGGUGAGGAGAGUAUCCUAAGGCCAGCGAGAGAACCGUUGUUAAGGAACUCGGCAAAAUGACCCCGUAACUUAGGGAGAAGGGGUGCCUUCGAAAGAAGGCCGCAGAGAAUAGGCCCAAGCGACUGUUUACCAAAAACAUAGGUUUCUGCUAAGUCGCAAGACGAUGUAUAGGAGCUGACGCCUGCCCGGUGCUGGAAGGUUAAGGGGAUCUGUUAGAGCAAUCGAAGCAGUGAACUUAAGCCCCAGUAAACGGCGGCCGUAACAAUAACGGUCCUAAGGUAGCGAAAUUCCUUGUCGGGUAAGUUCCGACCCGCACGAAAGGCGUAACGAUUUGGGCACUGUCUCAACAACAGACUCGGUGAAAUUGUAAUACCGGUGAAGAUGCCGGUUACCUGCGACAGGACGGAAAGACCCCAUGGAGCUUUACUGUAGCUUGACAUUGAGUCUCGGUGCUACAUGUACAGGAUAGGUGGGAGACUAUGAAGCAUGGACGUCAGUCUGUGUGGAGUCAUCCUUGGGAUACCACCCUUGUAGUACUGGGAUUCUAACCAGAGGCCAUGAAUCUGGUCUUGGGACACUGUCAGGUGGACAGUUUGACUGGGGCGGUCGCCUCCCAAAAAGUAACGGAGGCGCUCAAAGGUUCUCUCAGUACGGUCGGAAAUCGUACGAAGAGUGUAAAGGCAAAAGAGAGCUUGAUUGCAAGACAUACAGGUCGAGCAAGGACGAAAGUCGGACUUAGUGAUCCGGUGGUUCCGCAUGGAAGGGCCAUCGCUCAACGGAUAAAAGCUACCCUGGGGAUAACAGGCUGAUCUCCCCCAAGAGUCCACAUCGACGGGGAGGUUUGGCACCUCGAUGUCGGCUCAUCACAUCCUGGGGCUGUAGUAGGUCCCAAGGGUUGGGCUGUUCGCCCAUUAAAGUGGUACGCGAGCUGGGUUCAGAACGUCGUGAGACAGUUCGGUCCCUAUCCGUCGCAGGCGUAGGAAAUUUGAGGAGACCUGUCCUUAGUACGAGAGGACCGGGAUGGACGUACCGCUGGUGUACCAGUUGUUCUGCCAAGGGCAUGGCUGGGUAGCUAAGUACGGAAAGGAUAAGCGCUGAAAGCAUCUAAGCGCGAAGCCCACUUCAAGAUAAGAUUUCCCACCGCAAGGUUAAGAUCCCAGGAAGACUACCUGGUUGAUAGGUCAGAGGUGUAAGUGCAGUAAUGUAUUUAGCUUACUGAUACUAAUAGAUCGAGGACUUGACC